GGGCGAAUAGCUCAGCUGGUUAGAGCGCUUCUCUUACAAAGAAGAGGUCGUAGGUUCGAGUCCUAUUUCGCCCACCU
rnacentral:tRNA from 1 species